rnacentral:siRNA from 1 species
CGACUGGAACAACAAACAUAUCU